UAGAGAUUGAGAGGCAACCAGCGCGGUGAGUCGGCGAUGGAGGCGGUCUACUUGCUUUGCUACGUCGCUUCCACCACCAUCACUUCCUCCCUCCUCUCCCUUGCCCUCGCCUUCCAAUCCAUUCGUCUCUUCUUCUGCCGCUUUGGGUCUCCAGGUCCGGAAGUGGGCGGUCGCGAGGGUGACGGCGACGGCGACGGCGAUGCCGCCGUGUGGCUCUACGAGGGCCGCGUGCACCACGCGAGGCGGCGCCCUGUCGCGCAUGCAUUCGAGUAUCCUGUCCGGUACGCGCUCAUCGACCUCGACCGCGUCCCCCAGCCUCCCCACCUCUCCGCGGACCGGGCCCGCGAGAUCGCCCACACCAACGGACCUGUGUUCCUGCUGACGAUUCCAGCGAAUAUGGGGUACGAGCAGAACCCUUUGAGUGUCUACUACUGCUACGAAGUGGCGGAAGACGAAGGACGAGAAGAAGUUGGGCCUGCGCCCAUCCUUAGGAUGUGCAUUGCCGAGGUGACAAAUACGCCAUGGGGCGAGCGGGUGUCGUUCGUCUUCUGCCCGGGAUCUGAUGUGGUUGCGAAACCCCUGCAUGUCAGCCCCUUCAUGGAUAUGCUAGGAAAUUGGUGCAUGUUUGCUGAUGCACCAGGGGAGGAUCUUUCACUUGUAAUCUCAGUCCAACACCCCACCCUUGGAAACUACUUUACUGCAACUUUACGUGCCCGAAGAGUCCAUUCAUUUGAUUCAAAUUUUCUAGCAACAUAUUUUUGGUUGAUGCCCCAUAAGGUUGCAAUGUGGAUAUACUGGCAGGCUCUCAAGCUCUGGUGGAAGAAUGUCAAAUUUUUAGAUCAUCCGAAGUAUCUAAGCUCCAGAUAUAGAGAUGAUGCUGUACUACGUGAUCGGGAACUUCUCUCUCAAAAUGCUGGACAGAGCAAAAUCCUUCCAAAUUGCACAAGCAACAUGGACUUCAAAGGUAGAUGGUGUGUGUGGAGUGAAGCUCCAUGGCCAUGGUCAUGAUGCUCUUAAGGGUUUGUAUAAUUAUAGUGAAAUGGCGGAGAAUCAAUUGUAUUCGUGAAGCAUCUUGGAUGGCACCUCAGGCUUUUGAGGCUUCUCAUGGGAAACAUAACUUGAAAUACUAAGCAAGCAUAACAGGUUACUCUCCUUCUUCCUUCCUUGGUGGAUAAUUCUGUCAAAUGCAUUUGCAUCAACCCAUGAAGACUUUAUCUUCUUCUUAUCUUGCCAGUUUUGUGUUCAAACUGCUGUAGUAGCCAGCAAUUGCAUUUUGCUUCUAGUUUUAUCUUGUGCUAGUACAAACAAUUUAUUUAAUCUUGUGCAGAACGAAAAGAAGAAAAAUAACCUCAUUUUCAUGUA